rnacentral:rRNA from 1 species
UGGGAACGUGCCCAAAGGUACGGAACAACUCCGGGAAACUGGAGCUAAUACCGUAUGUGCCCGAAAGGGGGAAGAUUCAUCGCCUUUGGAUCGGCCCGCGUCUGAUUAGCUAGUUGGCGGGGUAAUGGCCCACCAAGGCGACGAUCAGUAGCUGGUCUGAGAGGAUGACCAGCCACACUGGGACUGAGACACGGCCCAGACUCCUACGGGAGGCAG